AGUGAACGCUGGCGGUAUGCCUAACACAUGCAAGUCGAACGGCAGCACAGUAAGAGCUUGCUCUUACGGGUUGCGAGUGGCGGACGGGUGAGGAAUACAUCGGAAUCUACUUUUUCGUGGGGGAUAACGUAGGGAAACUUACGCUAAUACCGCAUACGACCUACGGGUGAAAGCAGGGGAUCUUCUGACCUUGCGCGAUUGGAUGAGCCGAUGUCGGAGUGGCUGGUUGGGGGGGUAAAGGCCCACUAAGUCGACGAUCCGUAGCUGGUCUGAGUGAAUGGUAGGCGACAUGGGAAGUGAGACGGGGUCCAGGGUACUACGGUAGGCAGCAGUGGGGAACGUUAGACAAUGGGGGGAAGCAUUAUACAGCGAGCCCGCGUGGGAGGCGAAAGCCUUCGGGGUGUAAAGACGUUUUGCUGGGAGUGAAAAGCAGCCGGUUAAUACGACGCUGUUCUGACGGUAAUCGAAGAAUAAGCACCGGCUAACUUCGUG
rnacentral:rRNA from 1 species